rnacentral:rRNA from 1 species
UGCGGAAUUUUAGAUAAUGGAGGGAACUCUGAUCUAGCGACGCCGCGUGCAGGAAGAAGGUCUUCGGAUUGUAAACUGCUGUGGUAAGGGAAAAAUGCUAUGUAGAGUGGAAAGCUACAUAGAGGGAUGGUACCUUACUAGAAAGCCCCGGCUAACUACGUGCCAGCAGCCGCGGUAAUACGUAGGGGGCGAGCGUUACCCGGAAUCACUGGGCGUAAAGGGAGCGUAGGUGGCCUAACAUGUCAACUGUGAAAACCCGGAGCUCAACUCUGGACUUGCAGUUGAAACUGGUAGGCUUGAGGACGGUAGAGGAAGACGGAACUGCCAGUGUAGGGGUAAAAUCCUUAGAUAUUGGCAGGAACGCCGUUGACGAAUGUGGUUUUCUGGGCCGGUUCUGACACUGAUGCUCGAAAGCCAGGGGAG